GGAUUUUAUUUUUUUUUUUUGUAAAGCAGCUCUAUGACAAUGGUACCUCUGUUUCAUUCUAACAGGACGUGCCAGAAAUUCCAUUCUUCAGAUGUACAAACGAGGCUUUUCAAGAAAAACAUUUUUUCAAGUGCAAGUCAGUGUGGAUCUUCUGACGUGAACUGCCAACUCUGAUGCAUGUGAGCUGGAGCUACCUGACUCACUUCAAACCUUGAUGAUCCUGAAUCAAGAGACAUCUUACAUCAGCAGUAGUUGCUAAGUGCUGCUAAGGGGCUACUUAAACUGCCAACUCAUAAAUCAAGUUAUUUUUGGUAUAGCUCUCUGAAUGGUUUAGUUUCUAAUUAAGUGAAUUCAAGCAAAUCCCUAAUAUUCUUUAGCUGAGAGUGUGGUGGUGAUGCACAGAUUAGACAGCAAAUCCAGAUUAGCAGCACGCAGAUGGUAAAAUUUGGGUGUAGAACAAAUAAUGGAUAGACUCCAGUAUCACAGCAAUAGAUGAGGCUGUGCACUCUUG
rnacentral:lncRNA from 1 species